rnacentral:rRNA from 1 species
UACGUAGGGUGCGAGCGUUAAUCGGAAUUACUGGGCGUAAAGCGUGCGCAGGCGGUUCGUUGUGUCGGUGGUGAAAUCCCCGGGCUUAACCUGGGAAUGGCCAUGGAAACUGGCGAACUGGAGUGUGGCAGAGGGGGGUGGAAUUCCACGUGUAGCAGUGAAAUGCGUAGAGAUGUGGAGGAACACCGAUGGCGAAGGCAGCCUCCUGGGCCAGCACUGACGCUCAUGCACGAAAGCGUGGGGAGCAAACAGG